rnacentral:sRNA from 1 species
CUCCACAGCCGCCAAGCUGACGCGGGAGGUCGCCGCCGGGAGGGGCUCUAGGCGGACAUGGGAGGGGCGCCACCGUGCCAUGGGAGGUCACCGCCGGGAGGGGUGCCAUAGGCACCACGGGAGGUCCGCGCGGGAGGUCAGGUCGCCGCUGGGAGGGGCGCCACGGGAGGUCGUCGCCGGCGGCUCCACCCUCUAGCCGUUGUCGCCUCGCCUCCUACCCGUCUGCGCGAGCUCCCCUCCGGCCGGUCAUCAACGUCUCCAACCGCGCCUCCCUCCAGUCGCGCCUCCCACCUCCGGUCGCCACUGCCUCCUCUGUGCCGAGCCGCCGAGCUCCCCUCCGGCCGGCAACGUCCUCCCCUGCGCUGAGCAAGUGAUUUGAACCAAUGGCUACUUCGGCCAGUAGCAGCCAGUGUGCUACUCCACCGGUCAGCAGCAACCGGCGUGAGCAAGCCUCACAGGCUUCUGUAGAUGCAUCCCCAACUGCAAAACAAGCUGAAUAGGAAGAAGAGGAAACUUGUGUAAUUGAAGUUUGUUGAUUGUGUAAUUGUGCUAAAGUAUGACAUUUGAAGUUGUCUUAUUGUUGAACUUAUAAUGUUUGUAUU